UACGAAGGGUGCAAGCGUUACUCGGAAUUACUGGGCGUAAAGCGUGCGUAGGUGGUUUGUUAAGUCUGAUGUGAAAGCCCUGGGCCCAACCUGGGAACUGCAUUGGAAACUGGCUUACUAGAGUGCGGUAGAGGGGUGUGGAAUUCCCGGUGUAGCAGUGAAAUGCGUAGAUAUCGGGAGGAACAUCUGUGGCGAAGGCGACACCCUGGACCAGCACUGACACUGAGGCACGAAAGCGUGGGGAGCAAACAGG
rnacentral:rRNA from 1 species